CUGGAUGUGCGGGUUCUUCUUUCUAGUUCAUGCUGUAACUGAGGAGGGCCUGGGGCAGCAGCUAGAGAGCGUUCCUUCCUGGUGUGUUUAUACAAAGAAAUAAAGCUACAGAAGACCGGAGCAGGGACGGAAGACCAGAGCAGGGACAGAAGACCAGAGCAGGGACAGAAGACCGGAGCAGGGACGGGGUCACUACUGCCAGCUCCCUGUCCACUACGACCCAGCUGCCCAGGAUGGCUUACCUGGCCAAAGGUAGAUCGGGCAUGUUCGAACCCGCCCACCUGCAGGCGCUUCUUGAAAAGGUCCAGGGGGUACGUAAGGGUCUUGCUGAUGACUCCAGAGCCACAACCACAAAGCAGGUUUUUAAGGUUCCCUGAGCCAGAGACACCAUGUUAAGAAGGGUGAGGGAAGACAACGUGACAGGGGAGGGGGAGAGGGGACUACUCAGGGUUUUAGGGCACCUGCUGCUCUUCCAGAGAAACCAAAUUCUGUUCCCAGCACUGACAUCAAGCAGCUCACAAUGGCUUGUAACUACAACUCCAGGGGAUCUUUUAGCCUCUUUGGGUACCCCUCCCCUACACACACACACACACAUGAAUAAUAAACCAGGGCUGGAGAGGUGGUUCAGCAGUUAAGAGAACUGCCUGUUUUUCCAGAGGGCCUGGAUUCCACUCCCAGCACCACAUGGUGGCUCACAAUUGCCAAUAACUUCAGUUCUAGGGGAUCCAAAUACCUCUUCUUGCCUCCAAGGGCAAAGGCGCACACACACAUAGUACAGACAUACAUGCAGACAGACAAUACUCACAUACAUACUCCAUCACAGAACGAAACCCCACAAGCAUUCCUGCUUUUCAAAGGGAACCUGAUCACUGCAGAGCCACACAGCCCCUGCAGCAUUAAUGACCACAGGCACAUUAGCCAGCUCUGUAGCAAGGUCCACUGUGCUGUCAUUCCCACCAGGAGGUACAGAGCCUGUGAGUCCCAAAAUAAGAGUGGGAGCACUGUGCCCCUCCCCCUCCAAACAAGAACCACAGAAGUAAAAGUAAAAUAUAAAAAUAAAAAAAUGUGCCGGGCA